GAAGUGGAUGAAACCACCCUGAACAUGCCUGAUGUCGUCUGAUCUCGGAAGCUAAGCAGGGUCGGGCCUGGUUAGUACUUGGAUGGGAGACCGCCUAGGAAGACCAGGUGCUGGAGGCG
rnacentral:rRNA from 1 species